CCUACGGGGGGCAGCAGUGAGGAAUAUUGGUCAAUGGGAGAGAUCCUGAACCAGCCAAGCCGCGUGAGGGAAGACGGCCCUAUGGGUUGUAAACCUCUUUUGUCGGAGAACAAAACCCGGGACGAGUCCCGGACUGCGUGUAUCCGAAGAAAAAGCAUCGGCUAACUCCGUGCCAGCAGCCGCGGUAAUACGGAGGAGGCGAGCGUUAUCCGGAUUUAUUGGGUUUAAAGGGGGCGUAGGCGGACUGUUAAGUCAGCGGUAAAAUUGCGGGGCUCAACCCCGUCGAGCCGUUGAAACUGGCAGACUUGAGUGGGCGAGAAGUACGCGGAAUGCGCGGUGUAGCGGUGAAAUGCAUAGAUAUCGCGCAGAACUCCGAUUGCGAAGGCGGCGUACCGGCGCCAGACUGACGCUGAGGCACGAAAGCGUGGGGAGCGAACAGGAUUAGAUACCCUGGUAGUC
rnacentral:rRNA from 1 species